UACGUAGGGGGCAAGCGUUGUUCGGAAUGACUGGGCGUAAAGGGUGCGUAGGCGGUAGUACAAGUUAGAAGUGAAAUACCCAGGGCUUAACUCGGGUGCUGCUUCUAAAACUGUACGACUUGAGUGCAGUAGAGGUUAGUGGAAUUCCUAGUGUAGCGGUGGAAUGCGCAGAUAUCGGGAAGAACACCGAUGGCGAAGGCAGAUCUCUGGGCCGCCACUGACGCUGAGGCGCGAAAGCUAGGGGAGCGAACAGG
rnacentral:rRNA from 1 species